AAAUGGAGAUAGGGGCAAGCCUAAGGGUGAAGUGGCCAAGAACACCUCAAAAAAACCAAGCGUGGAACUUGCCCUAACCACAAACUGAGGAGAAAAUGAAGAUUUUCCUCUUUCCUUGUUUUCCCUAUCAGCAGAAAAUGGAGCUCCUGGGAUAACUGACUUGCUUAGAGUAACACUACCAGCAAAUGGUUCAAACUGUGGUCUGAUUCCAACACCAUUGUUCUUUCCUCUCAUCAUGCUGCAUUUGGAGCCUAAUCUUUGGAGAUACAGGAGUAGCUUCAGCUAUUAGAGUGAUAGUGAAUUUGGUACAACAACCCUUAUUUGGAAGUUGUUC
rnacentral:lncRNA from 1 species